rnacentral:rRNA from 1 species
AUACGGAGGGUGCAAGCGUUAAUCGGAAUUACUGGGCGUAAAGCGUACGUAGGCGGUCCGUUAAGUUAGAUGUGAAAGCCCCGGGCUUAACCUGGGAACUGCAUUUAAAACUGGCGAACUAGAGUUGAGCAGAGGGGAGUGGAAUUUCAGGUGUAGCGGUGAAAUGCGUAGAGAUCUGAAGGAACACCAGUGGCGAAGGCGACUCCCUGGACUCGAACUGACGCUGAGGUACGAAAGCGUGGGUAGCAAACGGGAUUAGAAACCCCAGUAGUCC